UGACAAAUUAGCAGAUUUCGCACCUUGAUUUUGCUAAUUAUAUGCCUCGUUAAUCGGCGUUUAACCUUUUUCUUGGAAGUUUGGUACUUGGUUUCCCUUGGGCCCAUGCGAUUGAUUAGUAGCUCAUCGUUAAUUCGUCUUUUUGGGUGGGGAAUAUUGCGGAGUCUACCAAUGAAGCGCAGUCAAGGGCAAUACAAGUAGGAAAAGUAGUGCGGUAGGAAUCUCUCUAUUCGUUGAUUAAGGAGGGGAAGAGGGGUAGCGACGAAAAGUGGCAUUUGUUGAUUUCCUUGAGCAUAAGAGCGAAAAGCUAAGAAAACGCUUGCUAAGUGUGAAGGGUUUAUAAGCACUGCAGAAUGGAGAAUUGAUUAUUGUGAAAUUUUUAGAGAAAUUUCAAUAGCUCUACAAAGAAAUAUCCACCCUUUUCGAUAUCAAAGCAAACGUCCAUCCCUCAAGAAAAAAAUCGCACACAUUCCUAGACUACAUUAGACAAAACAUCUCCACUUUUACCGCCAAUUUUGAUAAUGAAAAAAGCACAAUUCGUACUGUGGACUGUCCAGAUUCCUUAAUUAGCAGAGAAAAAAGUGGGGAAACGAUGGGAAAAGCGGUUUAAGGUGGAAGAACGCAGCCGCGUAAUUCGUCUUGCUGCGAUACAGGUAUAGAGAAGGAAGUAGGAAGGAAAGGAGAAGAAUAGCAAAGGGAAAUGAAUGCAAAGGUAAAGUUGAAAGAGUGUUUAUAAGGAGAUAAAAAGAAACAAAAUAAAAUUAGAAAAAAUUGACUAGGAGAUUUUUAGAUCGAAAAUAUUAUUAUUGCUAUUCUAAUUAUCAGCGGUUUGUUUGUUUUUUUUUUUCGGCUUCAUUUUAGGGUUGUGUGUCGGCUUGCGGAAGCACGUGUAUUAACGGUGCGAAAAAAAAAAAACACUGGGAAUUUUUAAUAAGCCCUGUAAAAUGUCUGUAUCUUGAAUUAAGACAGUGGUUUGAGACAAUGGUUUUUUUCAAGCAUACUAAUAAACAUGAGUCUUUAUACUGUUCAGAAAUGAACCUUUAUGCUGUUAACAGUGAAUAUGUUUUAUGUUUCGAAAAUACUUUUCGCUAUAACACUAAUAAAAGUCCAUAAAACGCUCAUUAUGAGUCGUGGAUUCAGAGAGGCUGCUUCUUUCCCACCAUGUUUUGUAUAUUUCAAUUGGGUAAAGGCAAGUCUGUUUUGAAAAUUGUAAAGGCUAAAAUGAAAUAUUCUAGUAUGGAUUUAUUAACGUUGGAUCCUUUAAAGUUGGUUUCUUAUAUUUUAUUUUAUUUUUUAGUUUUUCUUUAAUUUAAUUGUUUUUUUUUUUGGGGGAUA